GGUUGAUCCUGCCAGUAGUCAUAUGCUCAUUUCGAAGACUAAGCCAUGCAUGUCUAAGUAUAAGUUGUUAUACAACGAAACUGCGAAUAGCUCAUUAAAACAAUUAUCGUUCUAUGUGGACAAGAACUACUACACGGAUACCUGUGGUAAUUCUGGAGCUAAUACGUGAUUUAACAUCCAUUUGGAUGUCACUUAUUAGAUAAGAACCAAUUGCGCCCGCGCAUAUCUCUGGUGAUCCAUAAUAAGGUCGUGAAUCGCAUGGUUAAUACCGGCGAUAUUCCACCUGAGUUUUU
rnacentral:rRNA from 1 species